rnacentral:ncRNA from 1 species
UAAAAAACAAAGAAAAAGAAAAGUACAUUUAACACUAAUUUAAAGAGAAUAGAAGUCCUAGGCUGUAAACUUCUAAAAUAAAGAUAAAUGGAAAGUAACUUUUGAGUUGAUAAUCCGAAAAUAAACUUAAGAUUAUUCGUAAUACUGCGUUAAAGUAAAAUGAGAUGUUAUCAAUUAAUAAAAAUAGAUAAUAAAUAAGGUGGUACCGUGAAAAAACUCGCCCUUAUG